rnacentral:lncRNA from 1 species
AACUGGGUUUAUGUGCGUCCCCCUCACCCCCUCCUCUCUUUUUCUUUCUCUCUGUCUCUGUCGUCUCUCUCGCUGGCUUUUUAAAAAUGAGGAACCGCUCCUUGAAUGUUCUGGACAGAGCACAGAAUUGCUUCUUAAGUCAGCCCGGCGCGGUUGCAAUAGACAGCAAAAAGGUAAACGUUUGCCUGAAAUCCGCACGCCAGCUCCACCGCCCCGCCCGAUGGUCCCAGUUCCUCUGGGAAUCGUCCUGUAUGCAACAUCUUCACAAGAGUGGCAGGCAGUUGAAUCUCUGGCCUUCGUGGGACCACUGGACAUCUGGCAGAGAACCAGGAAACCACGGUUCCCUUCUGUGAGUCCCUCAGCCGGAAAACUACAAGAAUGAAAAAAAUGCAUGGCAUACAUCACCAAGAAUCAAAGGUUGUGCCUGGCAGUGUAAUUGACUAUGUAAUAAAGAGAGAAGCUUUGCUAGGUGAGUGGACAGCAUAAUGAGAGGCUUUGUUCACAUCUGCAGAAAUGCAUUUUCGUUAAACACCUGUGUUAAGCACAAGCACAUAAGGCACAGUGAUAGAUGGAUGUAAAACAUGGGUAGAUGAUGUCCUUGUAUGAGAUUCUACAAAGACUCCGAUGUGUUGAGGUUUGGAAGCAUUCAGGCAGCCUCCUGGCACUAUUGGCUAUGCUGCUAAUGAGAUUACAGGCAGGGCAUGAUUUCAUUCCAUGUAAUAUUUUUGUCAUUAGGAAGAGGCAAGUUAUUUUUACCUGUCAAUUUCUGUUUUUUGAAAUUGAAAAAUUCUCAGGUACGAAUCCCAAAAGACUUUACAUGCAACCUCCAUGUCCUAUUCAGGACUGUUCAAGGAGAAGACAGAAACACCAUGUUUAGAGGUCAUUGGUCCAUCUACUCUAGAAACUUCCCCUUGGCAGUGGUCCCUGCCUAUGUUACAGAAGACGGCAAAAAUACGAGCCAUCGUGCAUCUGGCCAGUUCUGCAAUGCUCUAUCCCAGGGGGAAAUUCCUUCCUCACUCCAGCUGGUGAACAGCUAUGCCCUGGAGCCCAGGACGGACAUGCCUUGUAACUUUUUAACUUAGUUAGUGUAACUACCAAUAUUA